rnacentral:lncRNA from 1 species
GCGUUCUUAGGACUAGUUUGACCUGAGUUUUUUUUUUGACGUAGGAACUUUUUAUCUCAAAAACUAUUCAUUCUUUCAAAUUAUAAUAUAAUUUGCACCGCUUCCAUUUUCUUUUUAUAUACAAUAUUUAUAUUUAUUUAUUUAUAACUUAGAACAAUUUACUACUUCCACCUUGUUUUCAUUAGUUUUUUUAGGUGUUAAAUUAGUCCACCGAAAUUGGCAUAAGAGAGAAUUGAACCUGAGACUUUAAGGAGGGGCAUACUCCCAACUCUCAAGUCUCAAGUCAAUACCACCAGACCAACCCAAGUGGGUUUGUUUUCAUUAAUUAUUAAAGAAAUGGAUAAAACUUUUCUUCUCUAACCUUGGAAAAAAGGUAUUUUUGUAUCUUAAGAGCUCAUUUGGUGCGCAGG